CUGCCGCCUGGACUUUUAAUGGUUCGGUCAGUGGUGCUGACUGGAGCCCCCAGGAUCUCUUUUCAACCAGGUGUUCCAGUCAAAAACCAGAUGCCUGGCAACCCAAGGAUUAAAACAUCAAAGACACAUGAAAAUAUUUAAGACCACCUAAAUGACAGUAAACUACACAACUGGAAAAUUAGUAAAAUUAAAAGGAAGAUUCCAUGUUUUUUAAAAUUAAUUUUAUAACAUUGAUUAUACAAUUCAAUAUAUAUAAUAAAAAUGGAGACUGGAUUCAGAAUCUACAACUGCUGAGUGAUUGUAUGUUCUAAUUAACAAAGGAUGGAAAAUGUUUAAGCAUCAAAUGAAAGUAUUUGGAAAGAGUGUCAAAUAAGAUUUCUUACAAAUAUCCUUCUAAACUAUGCAACUUUCCCUUUUCUCUCAGGUCACAAGACUGCAUACCAGGUCAAAUUAACACAGAUUGACAGCUUUAAAACUGAUUUAAUGAAGUCAAGAAGAUCUAGACCUGAUAUUAUCAUAAUGCCAAAGGAAUCAGAGGAGGAAUUAUUGACAUCACAUGUGCGCCAGAGCAAUGAAGAAGUUAAUGAAAUGAUGUCGAAGAUUCUGGGAGAUUUGGAACCAACAGAAUUAAUACCUAGGAAACAGUUACCUUUGAAGAAUCUUCAGGAGAUUAUUACUCAGAAAAAGCAAAAUACUUAUGUAGAUGCUGAUCUUUCACAGAAGAUUAGAUGGGCUUCUGAAAAAAGGAGAAGAGUAUCUUUGGAAAAAAGGAGGAAGAGAUUUAUUUUAGCAAAGUCAAUACUAAGGACCACAAGAAAUGACAGCUGGAUUUCCAGAAAAUACAAUAAAACACAAAUAUGUAUGAUAGAAAACAAACAGACCAGUAAAGGCAAACUGCAGGAACAAGAUAGGAAUAUAAAGUUUAGAAUUCAGAAACAAACACCUAAAUAUGUCAGAGGAUUAUAUCCCUGUGCUGGAAAAGCCAAAAAACAACAAACAUUAAAAUAUACUAAAAAUAUUAAGAACAGAAAAGCUAACUGGAGAAAAAAGAACUCAACAAGUAAUGCCAAGAAGGAGCAAAUGUUAGUACUGAAGGAAAGAAGAAAAAGAGAAAUAUACAUACAGAAAAGAGUAAAGGUUUUUAAAAAUCCAGUAGUUCAUGAUAACUCAUCCAACUAUUUUACAGUUUAUGGUACACCAGUUACUGUUCAGAAUAAAUUAUCAAAAAGACUAAGGAAAAACCUAAUUGGUUUUAGAAGAAAUACAAGAGAAAGAUCUUUAAAUAAUUUCUUGCAGAAAUUUGGUGAUUUUCUUAAAUACCUUGCAAGACAUAGAACAGUUGGUAAUGAAAAAGUUACAGGAAUUGAUAUUAGUCUUAAAAUAAAAAAAAACCCAAAUAAGUUUCAUAUUCCCAUGGGAACACAAAAACCAAACUUGAAAAUUCUAAUAUUAUCAAAAAGUACUGCUCAGCCUCCAGGAAUACUGUCCUUCCCAAAACAUAUGGGAAGAGCAGAAAUGAAAAGAAAGAUGUCACACAUGAACUCUUGGAAAACUCCUCAUUCUGUUUCUUUUCAAAAAAUAAAACAUAAUUCUGAGCAUAAAUUCAGACUCAAUACAUUUAGAGCAAAUGAACAGAAUAGUGUUUUAAAAACCAAAGGAAUAAAGAAACAGUAAAGCAGAUGAAGAAAAUAGAAAAGGGAAUGGCAGAAAGGCCUAGAGGCACAAAAUUAUAGCUUUUAUUCAAAGGUUUAAAAGAUAAACAGAUGAAAAAAAAUCACUUUAUAAAAUUCACCACAAAAUAGUAAACGUAGGGUUGAUUACUAGAAAAUCCCCAUUCAUAGCAAAUUUGGAAGUACCAUGAUGAUGUCAACUCAUUUUAAGAGACAGAAGCAAGUAAUUGGCACAGAAAGGAAGCAAACACUGCUAGCCUAGUUACUCAUUUGAAGCUGUCAGAAACAGUAAAACACAUACCAAACAAUUCUAACAGCAGAGCAAAACAAAUUAAACUUGGCCACAUGCAUGAACUGCUAAGAGAACUAAAGAUAUUCAUUAGGAUUUUACUACAGCAGAUGCUGAAGCUGGCACAGGAAAAUGUUAAACGUUUGACCAAAACUUCUGCCAAAACCCCCUCAGAAACUCCUUAAUAUGCCUCAAUUUUAAAAAUUCAGGAAUAAAAAAAAUUCCUGUGAAACA
ensembl:lncRNA